AUCAAAACUUCAUCAAAUCUUAGUCAAAUCUUUGUCAAAUCCUAAUUAAGUCCUAAAUAAGUCCUAACCAAAUCCUAGAAAAAUCCUAGUCAAAUCUAAUCAAAUCCUAAUCAAAUCUAAAAUAAAUCCUAGACAAACCAUAGACAAAUUCUAAUAAAAUCUUAAUCAAAUCCUAAUCGAAUCCUAAAUAAAUCCUAAUCAAAUUCUAAUCAAAUCUUUAAUAAGCCUUAACCAAAUUCUAAAAAAAUCUUAAUCAAACCAUAAUCAAAAUCUAAUCAAAUCCUGAACAAAUCCUAAC
rnacentral:lncRNA from 1 species